rnacentral:ncRNA from 1 species
GAUAACUGGCUUGUAGUGACCAAGCUUUCAUAGUAGUGUCCUUUCUGAUCCUUCCAUUUUGAGUCUUCAUAUUAUUGUGAAGCAAAAUUCAUCAAGCAUUAGAUUAUCCCUCCACUCAGGAGGUAAGGUUUUAGACCAUCUGGAUACAGAUA